rnacentral:rRNA from 1 species
AGCGAACGCUGGCGGCAGGCUUAACACAUGCAAGUCGAGCGGGCACUUCGGUGUCAGCGGCAGACGGGUGAGUAACACGUGGGAACGUACCCUUUGGUUCGGAAUAACGCUGGGAAACUAGCGCUAAUACCGGAUACGCCCUUUUGGGGAAAGGCUUGCUGCCGAAGGAUCGGCCCGCGUCUGAUUAGCUAGUUGGUGGGGUAAUGGCCUACCAAGGCGACGAUCAGCAGCUGGUCUGAGAGGAUGAUCAGCCACACUGGGACUGAGACACGGCCCAGACUCCUACGGGAGGCAGCAGUGGGGAAUAUUGGACAAUGGGCGCAAGCCUGAUCCAGCCAUGCCGCGUGAGUGAUGAAGGCCUUAGGGUUGUAAAGCUCUUUUGUCCGGGACGAUAAUGACGGUACCGGAAGAAUAAGCCCCGGCUAACUUCGUG